UUUUAAUUGUUAUAAUUAAUUUAUGACUAAUUAAUAUUUUAAUAAAUAUUAUUAAGUUUAAUUCUAGCUUGAAAUUUAAUUUAUUUAAUUAUGACCUAAAUGGAAUUUUUUAUAUGAACGCAGUAUUUAAUAUUAUUAAUUAAAAAUUUUAGAAAUAGUAAUUUAUUUGAGAAAAGACAAAGAUUUGUGCCAGCAGUCGCGGUUAUACAAUUUUUUCAAUUUAAAUUUAUAAAGUUUCAGUUAAUAUAAGAAUUUUAUUUAAAUGAAUAAUAAUUUUGGUGAAAUAAUAUUAUUAUUAUAUUUUAUAUAUAUAAUGCCUGAGAAAUUUUUGCUUAUAAACUAGGAUUAGAUACCCUAUUAUUGAAAAUGUAAAUAUUGUACUUGAUUAUUAUUAGAUAUGGUCUUAAAAUUCAAAGAAUUUGGCGGUAAUUUAUCUUGUCAGAGGAACUUGUUCUAUAAUCGAUAAUCCACGAUAGAAAUUACUUUAAUUUAAUUUGUAUACCGCUGUCAAGAAUGUUCUUUUAAGAAACUUUCUUUAAUUUUAUUUUAAAAAUAAUGUCAAGUCAAGGUGCAGUUUAUAUUAAAGAAAGAAUGAGUUACAUUUUAUUAUUAAUAUUAGAUUUUUCUUUUAUAUAAGAUCAUGAAAUUGGAUUUGAAAGUAAUUACUAAUUAAAUUAAAUUUUCUGAAAUAAGCUCUAAAUUAUGUACAUAUCGCCCGUCAUUCUCAUUCUAAGAUGAGACAAGUCGUAACAAAGUAGUUGUACCGGAAGGUGUAGCUAGAAAAAAAAAUU
rnacentral:ncRNA from 1 species